ACAGACCUAAGUUUAAAACUAUUUAUCAUCCUCGUGCCCUAGCAAGCACCGUCGCCCGGACUCCCUCUCCCGAUUCCACCUUCGUCCCGCGCCCUCUCCUCGCGCCGCCGAACCUCUUCCUCUGUCGAACUCCUGCCUUCUUCGUCCUCCCUUGCGCGGGCACCCCCGGACGCCACCAGCCUUUCCUCCUUCCGCCAGCACCAAAGACGCCGCAUCAGCGCCGGUCAUGACGAGCCCCAACCGCCGAUUUUUCCUCCUCACGCGGACAGCACAUCAGCGGUCCUUCUCCCUCGCAUGAGCACCUCGAGCCACUGUCGCCGAUCCUCUUCUCUUCAUGCCGUGCCCUAACUGGGCUGUAAUUCGAGACGAGCAUUUCGACGUGAAGAUUGUUUAGCUCGGCCUACAUUUAAGGCGGGUACUUCUUACUUUGAUUCUCUAGUUCUGGUAUCAAAGCAUGGUUCGAGUCAAAUGCUGGGUUUUGUGUUUUUGGGAUUUCGAUUUUGUUUCGAUUUACGAUUUCGGUUGUCUUGUUUUCCCUUUGCAAGUUGAUCCCUCGAUGUGACUCUCGAGUUGUGGGACCAGGCAGCGGCAAGAAUCUCCAAGCUAUAGGAGGUAACAGGUAGAUGAGUCAUGGAUGCUUGGAGAGAUGUCGGCUGCCAGUCCUGGGUCCCGCG